rnacentral:rRNA from 1 species
GACGAACGCUGGCGGCGUGCUUAACACAUGCAAGUCGAACGGAAAGGCCCUGCUUUUGUGGGGUGCUCGAGUGGCGAACGGGUGAGUAACACGUGAGUAACCUGCCCUUGACUUUGGGAUAACUUCAGGAAACUGGGGCUAAUACCGGAUAGGAGCUCCUGCUGCAUGGUGGGGGUUGGAAAGUUUCGGCGGUUGGGGAUGGACUCGCGGCUUAUCAGCUUGUUGGUGGGGUAGUGGCUUACCAAGGCUUUGACGGGUAGCCGGCCUGAGAGGGUGACCGGCCACAUUGGGACUGCGAUUAGGCCCAGACUCCUGCGGGAGGCAGCAGUGGGGAAUAUUGCACAAUGGGCGGAAGCCUGAUGCAGCAACGCCGCGUGCGGGAUGACGGCCUUCGGGUUGUAAACCGCUUUCGCCUGUGACGAAGCGUGAGUGACGGUAAUGGGUAAAGAAGCACCGGCUAACUACGUG